rnacentral:rRNA from 1 species
AGUGAACGCUGGCGGUAGGCCUAACACAUGCAAGUCGAACGGCAGCACAGGAGAGCUUGCUCUCUGGGUGGCGAGUGGCGGACGGGUGAGGAAUACAUCGGAAUCUACUUUUUCGUGGGGGAUAACGUAGGGAAACUUACGCUAAUACCGCAUACGACCUACGGGUGAAAGCAGGGGACCUUCGGGCCUUGCGCGAUUGAAUGAGCCGAUGUCGGAUUAGCUAGUUGGCGGGGUAAAGGCCCACCAAGGCGACGAUCCGUAGCUGGUCUGAGAGGAUGAUCAGCCACACUGGAACUGGAACACGGUCCAGACUCCUACGGGAGGCAGCAGUGGGGAAUAUUGGACAAUGGGCGCAUGCCUGAUCCAGCCAUACCGCGUGGGUGAAGAAGGCCUUCGGGUUGUAAAGCCCUUUUGUUGGGAAAGAAAUCCAGCUGGCUAAUACCCGGUUGGGAUGACGGUACCCAAAGAAUAAGCACCGGCUAACUUCGUGCCAGCCGCCGCCGUAA